GAUGAACGCUGGCGGCGUGCCUAAUAAAGGAAAGUAGAGCGAAAAGAUGAGGAGCUUGAUGAUGUGAAGUUAGCGGAGGAGGGGUGAGUAAAACGUGGAUAAUAUAUCUAUAAGACUGGGAUAACUUCGGGAAACCGGAGCUAAUACCGGAUAACAUGUUGAACCGCAUGGUUCAACAGUGAAAGACGGUCUUGCUGUCACUUAUAGAUGGAUCCGCGCCGCAUUAGCUAGUUGGUAAGGUAACGGCUUACCAAGGCAACGAUGCGUAGCCGACCUGAGAGGGUGAUCGGCCACACUGGAACUGAGACACGGUCCAGACUCCUACGGGAGGCAGCAGUAGGGAAUCUUCCGCAAUGGGCGAAAGCCUGACGGAGCAACGCCGCGUGAGUGAAGAAGGUCUUCGGAUCGUAAAACUCUGUUAUUAGGGAAGAACAAAUGUGUAAGUAACUAUGCACGUCUUGACGGUACCUAAUCAGAAAGCCACGGCUAACUACGUG
rnacentral:rRNA from 1 species